GUCCAGCUCUCAACAACUGUAUGGCCAACACACACGUAGGCUCGAGUGUUUACUCAGCAAACCUUGCCUCUCCCACCUUACACGCCUUUCAAAAUACAAAGGAAUAGACUCCCUCACUGUCAAUGCCUUGGCAGCCAGAAAACGGAAUUCCGCUCAUAGGGUUUAACUGAAGAGACGUAAAUGAAGGAAUCGUUGAUGAGACAAUCUGAUUCUGUUCAUGAGACUUGGGGUGUUGGCAGCAGGUGGUAAACGGUUUAACUUACUGUGAAGAAGCACCCCGGUCUUCUGAGUAGUCUGGCCUUGCUCAGAGACACAUGCUGAGACUGGUGCAUGAGAAUUCGACUGACCUGGUGGAGUCAUAAGAUGUUUAAGCCAGAAGGGGACCGUUUACAGAGCGUUGAACUCAGCCAGUGCACAUUAGAGAUAAUAAAACUGAGACCCAGAGGAACUCACCAGUCUGCUCGACUUACACAGUGAGCGUGUGGCGGGGCUGGGAAGCGAGCCCAGAUGACCUGACUCGAGACGAAGCAGCAAGCCCAAGCUUACGUGGCAAGUCUGUGGCAGGAGAUGACUGAUAAACGUCUCGCUGUGCUACACCAUCUCUGCUGAUUCAGUUUUUUCACUUCCAUGCGGAGUCACUCAAAAGUACAGAAUGACACUGGAACAAAGGGCAGCCAGAUAAUCAAGUUUGUGAAUUUCCCGAUUUGAUCUCCUCUCUUCCUCCAACAGAUGAGGAUUCUGACUCCUGCCUCUUCAGCGUUGCUCUGACACUGGGCGGAGGGCCUUGCUCACGGUAGCUGCUCAUCCUGGUGGACCGGCCAACUGGAAGGGCUCUGGGGCUUCGCUGGCUGGUCUUGGCAGUGGGCAGAGUGAGAAGGGAAGUCCUGUCCACAUGGCUGAGAUUGUAAAUUAGGGCUAGGAAGAAACUCACCUUUUUGAAGUCACGUAAGACAAAGGACUUCCUAGCUACAUCUGUGACACAUUGACCUGCCUAGGAGAAUGAACCACGACAAUGGACGUGAACUGGAAGGUGGCCAGCGUCCAUUCUGGAGGUCAUGUUUAUAGUGACCUCUCUUGGGGCACAGGUGUCUCUGUCCCCGUCAGGGUCUCCUCUGAAAGAAUGACAUUGUGCUGUGUUUUGUGCCUGAGCCGCAGCGCAGAUAGCAUGGCUUCGGCUUUCCACCACUAGCCUUCAGAGCUGUGGCAAAACCAUAAUUGGAACCUUUCAAUGAGCUAUUUGGAUAAACAGACUGUCAGUUCUUGGUUAUAAAUAAACUGCUAUCAGGCAUCUGAAAAAGACAAAAUGAUAGCAAUGUACCAAAAUGCAAAGGGACGCACACCUCGGAACGCCAAGCUAUCCAAGACCAGUUGCGUAAUCUGUAACUUCCACCACUUCGGUUUCCCAAAUUGCUCUGGAGCACAGUGUAAGGAAAACAGCACAGGCUUUGUGGUCAGGCAGGUCUGAGUCUGAAUUCUGUCUCCGGUGUUCUUUAGCGGUGGCCUUGGGCUAGGUGUUUAACUCCUUAGAACCUCAUCAUCCUCACUCAUAAAGUGGGGAGAGAAGGGAAUCAGUCCUAGUUCCUAGGGUUGCCAUGAGAUUAUAAACAGAGCGGGAACCAGCACAGGAACCGGGACAUAAUGGUACCCGGUGAACAAUAAAUAGGUCUAGCUGUGCCCAGGACUCUGGAAUAUAAACCAGAAGUCUAAGCGAGAGAGUUGCUACUUUCAAGAUGAAUGUUGAGUGAGAUUAAACUAAAAUGCUUUUAAAAACUAACUGUUCAACUGUUAUUAACAACAGGGAGAAUAUUUAACAUUGAUUGAAUAUUUGCUGUGUGCCUGGCAUGGCCAUAGGUAGUUUACAUACAUAUUUCAUGUCAGAUUAGAAAGCCAUGGCUCAGAUAGGCUGAGUGUCUGAUUCGGGAUCAGACAGCUGGGAAAAGCGAAAGCAGGGAUCCGAGCGAGCCCAGGGCUGGAGCUCCUAACCACUGCACCUCACUGCCUGUGUCCCAGCGGAUGCCCAGUAGCCACUCUCAGAGGGAACAGGCCAGGGUGCUCUGACAUAGUGAAGACGUAGGGCUUGUGCUGAUGGGUCCUAUGAGAAAUUCACACAAAUUAAUAAAAGUGCGUUUCAGAUACAUAUGAGGGUCUGAGCCAGGGAGGGCAAACAAGUAAAUCAAGGAGAUAUUUCAGUGGCUCCACAGGGCGUUUCUAACAUUUAAGAUCAGGAAGUUGCACUUUAAAAAAUCCAUAUUUCUUCCUUGCCUUCAAAAGUUCAUCAUGUAGAAAAAUGGAACCGAGUAACAGACGGCU